rnacentral:rRNA from 1 species
UACGUAGGGUGCAAGCGUUGUCCGGAAUUAUUGGGCGUAAAGAGCUCGUAGGCGGUCUGUCGCGUCGGCUGUGAAAACCCGGGGCUCAACCCCGGACUUGCAGUGGGUACGGGCAGACUAGAGUGUGGUAGGGGAGACUGGAAUUCCUGGUGUAGCGGUGAAAUGCGCAGAUAUCAGGAGGAACACCGGUGGCGAAGGCGGGUCUCUGGGCCGAUACUGACGCUGAGGAGCGAAAGCGUGGGGAGCGAACAGG